AUACGGAGGAUCCGAGCGUUAUCCGGAUUUAUUGGGUUUAAAGGGUGCGCAGGCGGCCAUUUAAGUCAGCGGUUAAAUCGUGGGGCUCAACCCCAUUCUGCCGUUGAUACUGGGUGGCUUGAUUGCGGUCGAGGUUGGCGGAAUUCGUUGUGUAGCGGUGAAAUGCAUAGAUAUGACGAGGAACACCGAUUGCGUAGGCAGCUGACCAGAUCGCAAAUGACGCUCAUGCACGAAAGUGCGGGGAUCGAACAGGAUUAGAUACCCUGGUAGUCCGCACAGUAAACGAUGAAUACUUGUUUUCGGCGAUAUAAUGUCGGAGGCAAAGCGAAAGCGAUAAGUAUUCCACCUGGGGAGUACGCCGGCAACGGUGAAACUCAAAUGAAUUGACGGGG
rnacentral:rRNA from 1 species